rnacentral:rRNA from 1 species
UACGGAGGAUCCAAGCGUUAUCCGGAUUUAUUGGGUUUAAAGGGUGCGUAGGCGGCUUAUUAAGUCAGGGGUGAAAGACGGUGGCUCAACCAUCGCAGUGCCCUUGAUACUGAUGAGCUUGAAUACACUUGAGGUAAGCGGAAUGUGACAAGUAGCGGUGAAAUGCAUAGAUAUGUCACAGAACACCAAUUGCGAAGGCAGCUUACUAAGGUGCAAUUGACGCUGAGGCACGAAAGCGUGGGGAUCAAACAGG